rnacentral:tRNA from 1 species
AUUUAUGUAGUUUAAUAUAAAACAUUACAUUUUCACUGUAAAGAUAUUAUAUAUAAUCAUAAAAA